rnacentral:rRNA from 1 species
GACGAACGCUGGCGGCGUGCCUAAUACAUGCAAGUCGAACGCAGUGGGGACGGGUGAGUAACACGUGGGUAACCUCCCAUCAGGGGGGGUACCCUUUGGAAGCAGGUGCUAAACCGAUCCAGAUGGAUGGACGCGGGGUGCAUUAGCUAGUGGGGGAGGUAACGGCUUACCAAGGCCACGAUGCAUAGACGACCGGAGAGGGUGAUGGGUCACACUGGGACUGAGACACGGCCCAGACUCCUACGGGAGGAAGCAGUGGGGAAUCUUGGGCAAUGGACGAAAGUCGGACCCAGCAACGCCGCGUGAGUGAAGAAGGUCUGCGGAUCGUAAAACUCUGUAGUUAGGGAAGCGGUACCUAACCAGAAAGCAACGGCUAACUACGUGCCAGCAGCCGCGGUAAUAC